rnacentral:tRNA from 1 species
UUAACUCAAUUGGAUAGAGUGUCAGACUUCGAAUCUGGAAGUUGAGGGUUCGAGUCCUUCAUG